rnacentral:lncRNA from 1 species
AUACCUCCUCCCUCUAAAAUUACUGCAAAUAUUUUUUUCCCCAAAAAAUAUUUUAAGGAUUGAAGGGUGAAAGAGGACCUACUGGGCUUCCAGGAUUUCCAGGCCAAAGAGGUCUUGAUGGCAGAGAUGGAGAACUAGGAUUGCCAGGGGAAAAAGGAGCUGAGGGCGAUUCUGGAGUAGCAAUUCCGGGUGAUAAAGGAUUCCCUGGGCUCCCAGGACCUCCUGGGGUAAAAGGCCAGAUGGGAUUGCCUGGUUUGGGGCUUCCUGGGUCUCCAGGAGCCAGAGGUAGCCCUGGAGACUCUGGAGAUAUGGGUAAUGUUGGGCCACCUGGUCCAAAAGGCCAGAAAGGUGAAACUGUCUGCAUUACAUCACCAUAUCCUGGAAAUCCAGGUCCCCCAGGUUUUAAAGGCGUUCAAGGUAUGUUUAUUGAAUAAUUUUUGAUUUAUACUGAAAUGGAAUUUGAAGUU